rnacentral:tRNA from 1 species
GCCUCCGUAGCUCAGCUGGAUAGAGCAUCGGCCUUCUAAUCCGACGGUCACAGGUUCGAAUCCUGUCGGGGGCGCCC